rnacentral:rRNA from 1 species
GAUGAACGCUGGCGGCGUGCUUAACACAUGCAAGUCGAACGGAAAGGCCCAAGCUUUCUUGGGUUCUCGAGUGGCGAACGGGUGAGUAACACGUGGGUGAUCUGCCCUUCACUUCGGGAUAAGCCUGGGAAACUGGGUCUAAUACCGGAUAGGAUCUCAUUUUGGAUGGUGUGGUGGAAAGUUUUUCGGUUCGGGGUGAGCUCGCGGCCUAUCGGCUUGUUGGUGGGGUAAUGGCUUACCAAGGUGUCUACGGGUAGCCGGCCUCUGAGAGUGUACGGCCACACUGGGACUGAGGUGCGGCACAAGCUCCGACGGGAGGGAGAAGUGGGGAAGAUUGACCAAGGGGCGCAAGCCUGGUGAAGCGACGCCGCGGGGGGGAUAACGGUCUUAGGGUUGUAGAAUCAAUUCGUAAGGAACGAAGCGUGAUGUGACGGUACCUGGAGAAGAAGCACCGGCUAACUACGUG